rnacentral:lncRNA from 1 species
UACAAAUCUGAGGGAAGAUAUCCCAGUAGACUUCCAUAUUUCUGAGACAUUACUGUGGAACACUUAGCAAAAUCGGGGGCAAAGGAGCUAUUUCCAUUUUCUACAUAUCUGCUAUAAUCCUCAAAUCAGGCCAGCUGCUGGAAUGAAAAGAUGCAUAAGAUCCUCUUGCUCUGUGCUCCCGAUGGGGCUGCUCACGAUUCAGCCGAAGAACAACCAUGCUACAUUUCAAUUACCUUUAUAUGUCUAAGGGUUUGAAUAGAGGAAGAAAUUUGGAGCAACAUUGAGAUUUCCAGUGUGGACACUGAAAUGAGAUAGACAUUACGCUCUCUGGGUCUAAUAAUAAUACUUUCUAUGAUUUGCUAAAAACUAGUGUUUCCCAAGUAAUAUAAAUCUCAAGUCAGGAAGUGAGAUUCUUAUUUUAGCAAAAAAAAAAAAAAAAGUUCCAUUUAGAUUCUGAAUAUAAAUAGGAUAAUACACAGACCGAUAUUCAAGUAGUGAAGUGUAGUAGAGGCUCACUUGUGAUUAAAGGAUAUCAAUACUUCAGAGCCUGUUAUGAAAGAAUUGUUGGCUGAUUUCACUUGGCCCCUCUUUUUCAAACCCUGACUUGUAUGACUCAAAGCUUCCCAUAACUUGGUGUCCAACUUAUUUCCUCCCAGCACAGCAGUAUCCCAGGCUGACUCAUCUCUGUGUGGCCCAGGCACUCUGUUUUUGGUGCCUGUUGGAAAAUGGAAAUAUCAUUCACCAGAAAGAACUGAAGUUCUCAGACCCAGCGGAUGACAGAAGGACAACACCAGAGGACCGUGCGGCUGCAAGGGCAAAUAUCCCACAAGACGGAAUCCUUCCCUGAGUAGCAGAUAACUUGGAAGAGACUGAGGAUUAGAAAAGCAAGAAGUGACUUGUGCAGUUCAAAUAGGCUUCAGGUGUCUAUGAGAGGAAGCAGCCGAGAAGACUCACGUCCUCGUUUUGUGUUGCUAUCGCAAAAUGUAUGAGGCUGGAUACCUAAUAAU